AGCGGUGUGGCGCAAUGGCAGCGCGCUGGGUUCAUACCCCAGAGGUCCCUGGUUCAAUUCCAGGCAUCGCAA
rnacentral:tRNA from 1 species